UUAUUGUCAUUUCAGAUUUCAAAUUUCCUCUGUCUUCUCCAAGUUCUUGCAUUUCUUUGUUCCCCGAGCACAUUGCUACCUUUGCCUUCCUGUCUUUAUUCUCCAGGUACGCCUCUUCUUUUGCCAUGGAUAGUUCUAGCCUCCUCGAUGUCAUCAACCUAGAGUCUAGCAUCACUCCGUCCAACAUUAGGAGUUUCAUCUCCAGGGAAUACCUGGAUACCACUUUUUUUCACAUCCGGGCUCCUUACCGGAAUGAGAGGAUCGUUCUUCCUUACCCUUCUCCCCCUGGCCUAGUCGACCCCCAAAGAGACGUUAGUCUAGUAUUUUUCAUCAAGCAGAGGGAAUAUGGUUUGUCUUUCCCCUUUUCUCCGUUCUUCAACGAGGUCUUCCGGUAUUUCGAGAUCACCCCUCGAAUGCUAACCCCUAACUCUAUUCUCUUCAUGUCUUCCUUCGAGUCUGUGUGUUUGAGCUGGGGUUUCACUCCCACAGUUCACCUGUUCGUAAGCUUCUUCAGGCUGGUCAAGGCGAGCCAAAAAUUUUAUUACUUUGCCCCUCGCGGAGGGUUGUCCAUUUUCACGGGUUAUAAAGACUCUAUCAAAGGCUGGAUAGAGGGGUUUCUGGUGGUAGAAUUAAAGAAGCAAACGGGGUUGGCUUGGGAGCUCUAUCUCCCCUGGGAGGAUGUCUCUCUGGGUUGCAACGACCUGCCCCAGCUGAGCCUUACUGACCAGGUCGGAUUUCUUCGACUGACUUCUGUGGAGAAGAAGUAUGACGUCGAAAAGUGCUUGUUCGCGUCCAAUCUUCGGGAUAUUAAGGACGCGGGUAUCCUAUCCCAUUUACCUGCUUUAGUUUUUGCUUACGUGAUCUUUGCUGAGAACUGUUCUGACUUGCUCUGAUUUUUAAUUUUGCAGCCUCCGAGGUGAAGAUGGAUCAGAUCAAGCCUCCUAAAAAUCUCAUACUGUCCCGGGAGAGCAUGGACGCAGCUCUGGACGCCCUCCUGGCUGGGCAAUCAGUGGGAGAGGCUACUUAAAGGGUGGCCGAAGUUAUCUCUUCCAGGUCGGCUAUCCGACCUCCUCCUCCUCCGGUCUCCUCACAAGCUCCUAGGCCAAGCUCCCGACGUAGUAGGUCGUCUCGACCCUCCCGCCGCAGCAGAUCGAGCUCGGCUCAUCAGUCCUCUCAAGCCCCCUGGACUCGACGUGCCUCUAACGAGGGGACGGAAGAAGCUCCCAGGAUCAUUUCCGAGCUGGCAGAAGACACUAGGCCGACGAGGUCGGAUCUUGCCUUUCCUUCUGAGGAAGCUCCAGAAGUGAGGCUUGAGGCCCCCUUCCCUGAAGAAGAGGUUCCCGAGGUGAGGCUGGAAGUCUCCGUUAUUGAAGAGAGGGCUCUGAAAGGAAGAGUGGAGGUCGUCCUUGUGGACGAGGAUGAUCAAGAAGUUGCUACUAAGGACCCUCCUGUAAUACCCGGCUAGAGUCCGGUAUCGGAAUUCUACUUUCCGAUGGAAUCCAGGAUGUCGAAACUCUCUCGAAGGGUAAUAGUUAUGUUUUUCUAAAGUAUUUUAAUAUGUUUUAAUGGUUUUAAGUGUAAAGGAAAUGAGUUUGUGAAAGAAAAGCACCAAGGAAGGAAAGUCAGGUUCGGCCGCCGAACAUGCAUGGCUUUUGGUUUCACGUUUGGCCGCCGAAAGUGGUCUGGCCAGCCACCUAUAAAAGGCCCUAGGUCGGUGAAAUGGAUAAGUUUCUUUCAUUUCCACGGACAGAGGUGAGACCAUGCUCUUCCUUGGGUGAUCUUCAUGAUUUUUACAAAUCUUUCAAAGUUUUGAUGAAUUUGUAUGUUGUUUUGAAGGUUUUGAGCUAAAAAACCAAGGUUUUGAAGUUUGGAGACUUUGUGAGAGAGUUGCUCCAUAUCUCCAUGUUAGGAUCACAUAUCCUAUCUUCAAGAGGUAAGUGUAGAUCCUUAGCUUCUUUUUGUAACGACCCGAAAACCGAUACCCCUCUGUAACGGUCCGAACCGCCACCGGCGCUAGGAUCCAGAUCGGCUUAAAGCCGCCGGGACCCGUAGCAAGCCAAACAUACCUCCUAUCACCUGGUCAAAUCCCAUACAUGAUCAAAACUUUAACAUGAAAACUCAAACAUCUGAUGUACAAACCGAACCUGACCUGUAUGCGACAUAACUGAAAACAUAAAAGGACCCCCCUACUAGAGCCCUCAUCAAAACUCUAGCUGGGUCUACAUAACAUAUAUCAAGCCGGAGUCACAUCCAAAGAACCAAACCUACCCUGUGCAUGCAUCAAUCCACAACACAAGACCUCCACUAGGGUCCUCAUCCAAUACCAUAGCUUGGUACACAACACAUGCCACAAGUUUAGUUCAAACACAACUCAAUAUCUAAAACAUUACAUACAUCAUGUAUUAAACAGGGACUAACCAAGUCUUAGGGCCAAGCACAGUACUAAACCAUAAACAUAUCUUCACUUAACUUUACAUUACAUUCUCUUACAAAUCAUUUCCAAUAUACAUUACAUGUCCACACUAAAAUGCUAAUCUAUUACUAUUACAAAAGCAAAACCUUUACUCUUGAGACUUCCCGAUCAACCUCAAACCUGCAACACUGGGGUUAGGGGAGAGGGGUGAGCUAAAAAGCCCAGUGAGUAGAAACAAAGAAAACAGUUCAUUAAUUACAUGCUUUCAUGAAAAUGCGUCACAGCACAAACAAAUCAUAUCACGGAUUGGACCUAACCCCAAAACAUCCCUUCCAGUCUCAGUAUGCCCGGCCCGGCCGGGUCUCACAACCUUCGUAUGCCUGGCCUGGCCAGGUCUUACAACAACUGUAUAUGUAUGCCUGGCCCGGCCAGGUCUCACAACAUCUCUAGGGCUAGUGGGGUCGUCCUUGGUCCAAUCUCCAUCAACAGUAAAUAAUGCAAUGCUUCAUAUUCGUGUAACUAGUGCAAUCAACCUAUUACAUAUAAACAUGAUGCAUGAGCAUGUUUUAGGCAUUUGAUUUCAUAAAAUAAAGAUUAAGUUUAGUUCUACUCACCUCUGGCAGACGCUGGACUGACGCUGCAACAGCUAACACUGAUGGCCUCCUCGAUCCCUCGGGUCCGAUCCUACACAGAUGGACUCGAAUGAGGUGCCAAACACACUCUAACAACUCAUAAAUAACUACCCAAAAACCCCCUAAAACAUCACCAAAGCAUGCAUAGAAAAUAACCAUGAAAAAGCUGGACAGGGCACUUUCGGCGGCACCUUCGGCGGCCGAACCCUCUCUCCAGAGACGAAACUCGGGCACUUUCGGCGGCACCUUCGGCGGCCGAAAGUCCCACUCCAGAGACGAAAGUCAGGCACUUUCGGCGGCCGAAUCCUUCCUUCGGCGGCCGAAAGUCUGCUUUCAAGCCAAAACUCAACUUUCGGGGGCAAGGUUAGGCGGCCACACCAUGCAUCCAAAGGCAGGUUCGGCGGCCGAAACCACCUUCGGCGGCCGAACCUGAGUUCUUCCCAGAAGGGCAGAACUUAGCUUCUCAUGCAUUCAAGCCUCCCAAACCUUCCAACACCCCAAAACAAGCACCCAGCUUAACCAAAACAAGCAUAAACCUUUAACCAUGCACAAAGGAGCUUAACAACUUGAUUAAACUCCGAAAACAACAUCAAAAACAUACAUGGAUAGCUUAUGACCCACAUAGGCCAAAACCAUCAAAACAACCCAAAUCCUCACAUACUCUCUCCCCAUCAUGCAUACUCACUCCCACAUGCAUAGACUAGCUUAAACUUCACCAAAACAUCACAUAAACACUCAUAAACAUACAUAAGCACACAUUGGGCAUAAAACCCACAUAAAUCCUAACAUGCAUAUCUACCCACACUCUACCAUCAAAACCUUCAUAAAACUUCAAAAGACACUAGGAAAGCAAAGAUCUACACUUACCUCUUGAAGAUCGAGGGUUGCGUGAUCUCUAACUCGGAGGUGUGGAGAAUCCAAGCUCCAAAAGCUCCAAGCUCCCAAAACUUGAUCUAAGCUUGAAAACUCUUCAAAAUAACCAUGGAACUCAUGAAAACAUGAAGGAGAUGAAGAAAAACAUGAAAACGGCCAAGGGAGGACAAAAACUCACCUGAGCUCGAGAAUGGGGAGAAAACUCGCCCAUUUCCGAUCGGAGGGCUCUUUAUAGGUAGCCUGGUCAAAGACCUUCAGCAGCCUAACGUGCCCCCUAAACUCAUGCAUGUUCGGCGGCUGAACUUGACUUUCGGCGGCCGAACCUUGGCUCGUUCAAACAAGACUUUCGGAGGCCAAAAGCGCUCCCGAAGCCUUUCCAUGUUCGGCGGCCGAACUUCACUUUCGGCGGCCGAACCUGGCAAACGCCUCCUUGGUCUUUUCUUUUUAAAACUCAAUUCUUUUUCCAUUUAAAACCAUGAAAUCAGUAAAAACCUUUUAGAAAACACAUUUUACCCCUCUAGAAGCCUCUGGCAUCUUCAGAAUUCUAGAUUCCAACGGAGAUUCCGCCGGAAGGUAAGGAUUCCGAUGCCGAAAUCUAGCCGGGUAUUACACUUUUCAUGUUUUAUAAAGGUUUUAUGGAGUUUUUGGGUAAAGAUGCAUGUUUAGGGUAAGUUGAGGUUUUGGUUGAUUUGUGGUCAAAGCAUGCUUAUGUGUUUAGUUGUGAUGUUUGUUGGGGUUUUAAGGUAGUUUUGGACCCCUUUGUGCAUAUGCUUGAGUAUAUGUGUGUUGUAGAGCUGAGGUUUGCAUGUUUGAGAAGUUUGGAGGAAGAUUGCAUGAAGUUGAGCAGUUUCGGCCGCCGAAAGAGGGUUCGGCCGUCGAACAUGCUAAGGAGGUGGUUUCGGCUGCCUAAGCUUGCCCAAGCUUGCCCCUCGAAAGUUUGGACUUUCGGCUCUGGAGGGGAGUUUCGGCCGCCGAAAGUGCCGCCGAACAUGCAUGAGUUUCGGCUCUGGAAGGGACUUUCGGCCGCUGAACCUGCCGCCGAAAGUGCCCUGUCCAGCCUUCCUUUGCAUGUUUUUCUUGAUUGUUUUAGGAUAUUUUAGGGAGUUUUUGGGGAGUAUUUUAGAAAUAUUCUUGAGUUUGUUUGGUCCCUCAUUUGAGUCCACCUGUGUAGGAACGGACCAGAGGAACCAAAGAGAUCAGUAGUGAGCACUGCUUCAGAGUUUCCAGAGUCAAUUCAGAGUCAGCCAGAGGUGAGUGGAACUAAACUGAAUCUUUUAGUAAGCAAAUACUUUUUCGCAUGUUUCAUGCACCAUGAUUAUGCAAUAGGUUGAUUGCAUUAGAAUUCAUGAAGAUGUUGCAUUGCAUUUUCUGUUGUUGAUGUGGAUGGAAUGUGAGUGAUCCAUUAGUCUCUGAGAAAGACCAGGUGCCCAUUCUACGCCCUGUCACUAGUUAUGAGGAAGUCCAGGUGCCCAUUCUACGCCCUGGCACGAGUUAUCAGGUAAGACAGGAAGACCAGGUGCCCAUUCUACGCCCUGGCACGAGGAUAGGAUGUCGGGACUAUUGGUGACACAUUCAUCCUUGCUGUGAAUUGUCUGUGAUAUGAUGCAUUUCAUUUGAGCAUAUUUUACUGUUCUACUCACUGGGCUAGUAUAGCUCACCCCUCUCCCUUAACCCCAGUUUUGCAGGAUCAGAGUACAGGGGGAGUCAGAAGAGUACAGAAAGAGUAAAGAGUUUUGUAAUAGCAUAGUGUGGACAUGUAUUAUUGUGAAGAGAUGUAAUAGUAUUGUAUAGAGUUCAGUAUUGUGCUUGACCUAGAUGUGUUGUAAAUCCUUUUUGUAUACAUGAUCUGUUUAUUGUAUGUAAAUGUUUUUAUGAGAAUGAAAACCAGGCUUACCAGAGUAUGAGUUUAACCCGUCUGGAGCAAGCUCUAGUAAGGGGUUCUGUAGUCCAGAGAUAGUGCAUGCACAGGUAGAGCCGUGGUUCAGAGCAAAGUUUUAUACUUUUACAGCAAAUGUAUGAUCAUGUAUGGGAUUUUACAGGUACACAGACAGUAUAGCAGGCUUGCUACGGGUCCUGGCGACCUUAAGUCAACCUGGAUCCUAGCGCCGGUAGCGGCCCGAUUCCCGGGUCGUUACACCUCCUGUCAUCGAGAUGGCUGAGUCUGAGCCUGCGGAUGAAGUUCUCCCUCAGGCGAAGUCGUUG
rnacentral:lncRNA from 1 species